rnacentral:lncRNA from 1 species
CAUGAAUCAGGAUAACAUUUAAACAACAGUGGGGGAGUGCCUGCCGUAGCCAUCUCAACAUGUUGUCAUAAGUAGCUGGUGUUUCCAUGGCAACGUGACAAUGGUAAACAAAGAUGUUUUCAGGGUGGCUAGCGCAAAUGUAGCUUUUAUGAUCACAUUCUCCCUCUACCCCCAACCCCCAGCAUGGUAAAAAAAAAAAAAAAAGGUCUCCUUGCCUUUGCUACGAAUUGAAUUUUCCACACUGAGAGACAAUAGAUGAAAUGGACCACUAUUUUCCUCUUCUGUUUAUUUUUUAUGUUCCACAAUUUUACGCUAGUGGGAAUUUUGUUGAAGUGACCACCCAAUUUAGAGAGUCUGACCUUGCAUAUUGAAUUCUAAAAUACUCCUGUUGUGUGGAGUUGCUAAAGGCGCAUGAGGGAAAUUCUGAACUAUGACAAAUUUGACAACAUGAGCCAGAGUGACCUUACCUCAUGUGGUCUCACAGCCAAGGAGACAAUCAAGGUUCUCAAAAGCAGUUUCUCCCACAGAUAACUGUUCCCCCCGAGAAGCUCUUCAAUACUCAUCUGUCAUGAAGAAAACGUAUUGGAAAAUGAAAGCACGAAAAAUUCUCCUGAGAUGUAGAUGCCAUCUAAAUUUCUCUUUACAAUUCUGUUAUUUGCAUGCUAAUAGCUGCCUAUCUAACUCCGGAGCAAGAAAAAUGCGACUUUAUUUGAAGUCACAUCACAGUCUGACAGUUGAUUUCAUCAUCACAAAUGAAAAACAGAAGGACAGUAGGACAAGAAGAGCCAACGAAAACAGAGGAAAAAGUGGGGAGAGAGUGGAGGGAAUGGAGAGAAACUGUAUACAGGGGGUAGAAAGAAGUGUCCCUCGCAAGAGCGCCUCGUCACCAGGAAAGCGAUCAUGUACCGCUUCUGCCUUUCAGAAGUUUCCGGAGCUUGAGGGCGGAGCUGUGCCUGGGACGCAGCUGAUCUACUUCUGGGUGAUGGGGUUCAUCUAGUACUGCAGCCUAGCCUGGUGCACACGAGAAUAUUUUUAAAGUCCUUUUUCCUCUGACUAACUCAUAUAUUAAAAAUAAACUGCUGUAGAAGUCUUUGCUUUCUGAUGACUUUGGCGAGCUUGCUGUUUUAACGAGGCCAUUGCAGAAUCUGUUUUAUUAUACAAAAUCCUCUUUUGAUAUACUUAGAGCCUAGACAAAGUCAAUCUGAGAACUUCAAAGAAGAUAAUAAGGAAGGAAAGUUA